GGAUAGCUCAUCUGGUAGAGCGCUAGCUUGAUAAGCUGGAGGCAGCGGGUUCGAUUCCCGUUCCA
rnacentral:tRNA from 1 species